rnacentral:misc_RNA from 1 species
AAAUGUAUGACUCCAACAUAAUGAAGGAAAGACCUAAUGGCUUCAAACUGCUAAUGCUGCCAUGUACCAAUAACAGCAUAUUUCACACUACAAUUACCAACACAAGAAUAAAUCAAUGAAGUUUACAAGGGACUGACAAGACCAAACCUAAAUAAAAAAGCCAACUGUAUAAACCAGAAGUUCUAAUUUUCAGUUUUACUGUUUUUCAUUUCUGUUGUUAAAAUAAAUAAAACCCAAAAGCAAACCAAAAAUCACCCGCAAGGACCUGUGUCUAUUUAUAGCUUGGGAUUAGGUAGUGAUGCGGAUAUGAUGUAUGUUGAGAGGAAUGCCCAGGCAUGCCUCUCAUUAUCUCCGAGGAGUGCAAACCUCUCUUAGCAUCAAUAACUUCAAUUUCUCAUUCCUCUCAACGACCAGUCUUGGGACGU